UACGGAGGGUGCAAGCGUUACUCGGAAUCACUGGGCGUAAAGAGCGUGUAGGCGGAUAAAUAAGUUUGAAGUGAAAUCCAAUGGCUCAACCAUUGAACUGCUUUGAAAACUGAUUACCUAGAGUAUGGGAGAGGUAGAUGGAAUUUCUGGUGUAGGGGUAAAAUCCGUAGAGAUCAGAAGGAAUACCGAUUGCGAAGGCGAUCUACUGGAACAUUAUUGACGCUGAGGUACGAAAGCGUGGGGAGCGAACAGG
rnacentral:rRNA from 1 species